UGAAAAGCAGAUUAAGAAAAUGCACGGCAGACACUAGCCGGCUCUGGCCAGAAUGGUUAGAUUUGGUGAAACUCUAUAUGAGGAUCACCCCGACAGCUGAUGGUCUAACACCUUUUGAAAUAAUUCAUGGGAGAGCUUACAGAUUGCCUCUGUUUGCUCCAGACUUACAAAAAGCUGAUGAAGAACAGACAUUAGCAGAUUAUAUGAUCAGGACCCUUAAACUGAAGGAGGUGUCCAGUGCAAAUUUACUGCCUUUUUGAUUCUCUUCCUGCACAGGAGGCCGCUCCGAUCGAGCCAGGUGACUGGGUCUACAUAAAAGUCAACAGCUGUAAAGAUUGCUGAAAGACCCAGCUGGAUACAUCUCAGUCACUGUAAGCUGCAGAGAGUGUUAAACCCCUAAAGUUGGAGUAGAGAGGAAGGAGAGCUCUUUUGAGAGCUUCCGGGCUACAAAGGGGAGCUACAUUAUAGUUGUAGUUCGUCUCAAACCCGGUGAAGAAACGCUAAGAUUCUCACUCCUUUAGUUUGGGGGUUCUGACAUCUCUAUACGUCGAGCAGCAAUGGGGACUCCAUAUGACAGAUGGACUUUUUGCUGCGCUGUGACUGUUGUAUGUUUGAUGUUUGGUGAAGGAAACGAGCCUGAGUUCCACCCACAUGACUACAGUACCAAUCUUUGGCUGAAAACUGAUGAACAGAACUGCUUAUGAGGGACAUGCUGUGAACUGCUACGUGUGUGCGCAACUGCCAGUUUCCAUACACAACUCAGGUCUCCGACCAGGUAACAUUGCUGACGACAAACAGAUGUGUCUCUAUGUUCUAAGCACCAGACCGCGGCGCAUCCCACCACCAAGGGGAGACAGACCACGUGAGAAGGACUAUUCUGCUGACCUCCGGAUGGGAGAGGCAGUGCAAGGACUGUUUCAAUUUUUAAAUUGUUCACUGGCAGACGAUGUACUUCCUUUUCGUCAUCUCAACAAACUGGACGUUGCCCUGGCACUUGUGUAACAGAGUUUACACCUACUGCGAACCGACACAGGAUUUCAUCGACUGCACAGCCUGCAGGGGUCAAAGGGCGACUCCACACUGCAAAGUCUGGAAGGAAAACCCAGAUUGUCACAACCUGCUUCAGGAGAGGAGUUUCAACAUCACGCAUAAGACUAAGAGGAGACAGAUGACAACACUGUGUAGCGCCAUAAUGCCAGGAGAUUAUGGCUCUCAGAUAUUAGCAGACUGGAAAGCACAAAAUGAUCUACACACCCGCUCCAAGCGAACAGCUAUGUCAGAGGUCAAAAGAUGGGGAGGCCUAACAAUACAUACUGGAGUUCCAUGGGAAUUCAGGAUUUGGAACGGCGGAGAAAAAAUUCAUGCAAGGUCUUUUUCCGUGGGUUGGUCUAGGAGAGAUUUGAUACCAUGUUUGAGAUAAACAGGUACGGAUUAUUACGACUGAUCAACAUCACAUACCAGCUGGCCAAUGGCACCAUGAAAGAACUGACUGAACUGAGAAACAUGGUUAUGCAAAACCGUGUUGUCCUGGACUUUCUCACUGCCCCUCAGGGAGGGGUCUGCAAAAUCAUUGGCCCAACGUGCUGUACUUUUGUGCCUGAUGAAACAGGAAAUGGAGGAAUUAUUUCUGACGCUCUAUACGAGCUAGAAGAUUUAAAACAGUAUGUGGAAAGUGGAACACGCGGCUCAUCCUCUUUUGAUUUGUUUUCAUGGCUCACUGCUGGACCAUGGUGGUCCUUGCUGUUAAAGCUUGUGACACCUAUUCUGAUUGUGUUAAUUCUGUUCUGCCUAUUUACGGGUUGCAUUAUUCCUUGUCUACGAAAUAUGAUGUAUAAAACAAUUAAUACGACUGUUAUCAACUAUCAGCUGACAAAGGCAUCUUAUGAAACAACUGAAGAUGACUUGUUCCAAGUUUCUGACGAUUUUCUGAACAAUCAUGAAUUUCUGUAAUCAAUAAACAGAUGAAUUCAUUUGCUGAAUGACUCCAACACCGAAAAUGUGGGAACAAGUGAUGUUUAGGAUGAGAAAACUGCAUUUGAUUUUUUACUGUUUAUUCUUUGUUUUUUCAUGUAUUUCAUUAUAUAACUUUUAUUCAUUAUGUAUUCUCUGUGUUUAGAUUAGUUUUUAUUAUUUUCUUUUAUUUUCUUUUCUAUAUUUGGCUUCUGCAUAGCAGUUUAUACACAUAGUAAAAUGAUAAAAAGGGGGGAAUGUUAGAUAUUUUUUAUUAUUAUCAUUUUGCUGUUACUUUAGUUUAUAUUCAGUCUAAAGUAUUAUUGUGAUUUAGUAUAAACUGACCUGGAGGUUAUGACUGUCUUCAUGCGAGAUAGUAAAACUUUAUGGUUCUCAGACCCUAAAGUUUUCUCUGGUGUUUAUCUACCCGGUCUUAGGUGACAGUUUGACCCAGAGCUGAACUGGGCUCAGAUUGUAAAUUAGAUAUCACACCUGGAACUGAGUUGUUGGUCUGUUUAUGUUAAAUGUUUUACGACCUCUGUUGUUUGAUGCUUUGACAAUAAAGAGGGAGCUCACGUGAAAGCAGAUCAGAACUCUCUAUUGACCAGCCCGGAGGAGCUGUUGAUCGGGAUUUCUCCUUCUGCAGAAGCCUGACCAUAUUUAAUUCA